rnacentral:misc_RNA from 1 species
CCGAUUUUAGCGAUCCUCGCUUCUGGCGGGGUUUCGCGUUCGUAUUUAAAACAACCCACUCUUUUAUAAUUUUAUACGUAUUUUAUCAUGUAAAAUAUAAAUAAAGA